GCUCAUAGGAACUCCAAUCGUCCCAACUGUGAGAGGGCCUUGCUCCAGUGACUGUUGGAAGAUUUGUGGACUACAUUAACUAAUGACACUACCUCCAAAGAGUUGCAAAAAGCUGUCCAAAGUUCCAGCACCCUCUUUAAGUCCUUCAUUUUGGUGUUCCAUGCCAAAGCACAUGAGUUUUAAUGUGAGAUUGGUGAACUAUAUGAGCAUCUUAAACUAAUGCCAAAAUUUUGUUAUUGCUUUCCAGGAUAUUGGCAUACCAGGAUAGGUGUGGUUUAACUGUUGGGAAGGAGGUUGGAACAGUGCAAUGUUUCCUCUCUUGGAUUGCAGUGACCAGACAUGCUACUGUAACUCUCAUGGUCAUGUGCUGGAAUUAGCAGAUGUUCAACUAUUUGCCCAUCUCGCUGACCUGUUGAUAUCAGAAGACCACAACAGCUCUGCAAUGCAAGUUGCAAAACAGAAUCCAUGAAACUGGCAGUGACCGGAAACCAAUUGGAAGACUUUGGUUUAUGAUGUAGAGAAGUGGGCAGACGCAGAAGCAAAGACAAC